AGCUCAUUUGCCCCUUCCACUAUGUGAAGACACAGCGAGGGGAUACAAUCUAUGAUCCAGAGAGAGGGCCUUCACCACAUACUCGACCUACCGAUGCCUUGAUCUUGGACUUCUCAGCUUCCAGAACUACAAUCAAUGUUUACUGUUUAAAUGAACAAAUGUGUGAAAGAUGAUUGCCUCGAUUCACCUUUCCAGUAGUAAGAGCCACGGAUGGCUGCAUGAUCUCCUCUAUCUCAGUAGGUGUAGCACAUGUGAACUUACCUGCCAGGCCUGGAUCCAUAAUGAUGCCGGUGAAGGGUGAUUAGCCAAAAUGAAAAAGGAGAAUAAGGCAAAAUAGAACCAGAGAGAAUGACAGUUAAUGACAACAAGCCGACUACGUGGGAGGAAAGAAGAUUUUGGAAACCAGUUGAAGAAAUCUGCUGCCUCCCUGGAGAUGUUUGCCCACAGUUUUAUUUCAUCAUCAACUGUAGAUCCUUUUGAUUUUGAAGCAUACUGAUUCCAGGAUCUGCUAAAAAUAAAUAUUUGCCUUAUUAA